GACGAACGCUGGCGGCGUGCUUAACACAUGCGAGUCGAACGGAAAGGCCCUGCUUUUGUGGGGUGCUCGAGUGGCGAACGGGUGAGUAACACGUGAGUAACCUGCCCUUGACUUUGGGAUAACUUCAGGAAACUGGGGCUAAUACCGGAUAGGAGCUCCUGCUGCAUGGUGGGGGUUGGAAAGUUUCGGCGGUUGGGGAUGGACUCGCGGCUUAUCAGCUUGUUGGUGGGGUAGUGGCUUACCAAGGCUUUGACGGGUAGCCGGCCUGAGAGGGUGACCGGCCACAUUGGGACUGAGAUACGGCCCAGACUCCUACGGGAGGCAGCAGUGGGGAAUAUUGCACAAUGGGCGGAAGCCUGAUGCAGCAACGCCGCGUGCGGGAUGACGGCCUUCGGGUUGUAAACCGCUUUCGCCGGUGACGAAGCGUGAGUGACGGUAAUGGGUAAAGAAGCACCGGCUAACUACGUG
rnacentral:rRNA from 1 species